rnacentral:lncRNA from 1 species
UUAACAAAGAUAGGCACUUAAGUUGAAAGUAUGCAAAACUUUUCUUCCCAUACCAAACGUGUGGAGAAGAUUCUCCUUUUAUCUUACUUGGUUCAGCUUUCUGAAAGAAUCUCAACUUAAUUCAGAAGCAAUUGAAUAUUGGCACAAAACCAGCAAUACAAGAACAGAAAGGUCUUAAAAAGAAACGUAUUUGGCCAGUUCCUUCUCCAUCUCAGAAUACUGCUCUUUGAGGCGCUCCAUAGCUUUUCUGUGCUCUUCGUCCACCUCUUCUCGCUUGCUCUGUUGUUCUUGCAGGAACGUCUCCUGCUGAGCGAUGCGCUUCUCUUCACCAGCCAUUAGCUUGUCAGCCUGAAUCUUCCUCUUCUCGUGCUCCUUCUCUUGUAGUUUGUGGAUCGUAUCAUUGGCAGCCUGCAAUCUCUGCAAUACUUCAUUGAGAUUGUCAUGCAUGGACUGCUUGCACUUAGGAAGAAUGUCUUCAUUGGUUUCAAAGAUGGUUUUCUUUAGGUUUUCAAGUACUCGUAGUUCUCGGAGGCCACGUUUCUCUUCAAAUUCUUUAACAAAGUAACGUAUUUCUCCCUGAAUUACAGGUCUGUGAUCCAGGAGUCUUGAAUAGAUUUCCCCGACAUCCUUGAUGAUGGGCUGAAGCAAGGUGCCUGCCGCCGGCACCUCCCGC